GGGACACGUGGUAUCCUGUCUGAAUAUGGGGGGACCAUCCUCCAAGGCUAAAUACUCCUGACUGACCGAUAGUGAACCAGUACCGUGAGGGAAAGGCGAAAAGAACCCCGGCGAGGGGAGUGAAAAAGAACCUGAAACCGUGUACGUACAAGCAGUGGGAGCACGCUUAGGCGUGUGACUGCGUACCUUUUGUAUAAUGGGUCAGCGACUUAUAUUCUGUAGCAAGGUUAACCGAAUAGGGGAGCCGAAGGGAAACCGAGUCUUAACUGGGCGUUAAGUUGCAGGGUAUAGACCCGAAACCCGGUGAUCUAGCCAUGGGCAGGUUGAAGGUUGGGUAACACUAACUGGAGGACCGAACCGACUAAUGUUGAAAAAUUAGCGGAUGACUUGUGGCUGGGGGUGAAAGGCCAAUCAAACCGGGAGAUAGCUGGUUCUCCCCGAAAGCUAUUUAGGUAGCGCCUCGUGAAUUCAUCUCCGGGGGUAGAGCACUGUUUCGGCAAGGGGGUCAUCCCGACUUACCAACCCGAUGCAAACUGCGAAUACCGGAGAAUGUUAUCACGGGAGACACACGGCGGGUGCUAACGUCCGUCGUGAAGAGGGAAACAACCCAGACCGCCAGCUAAGGUCCCAAAGUCAUGGUUAAGUGGGAAACGAUGUGGGAAGGCCCAGACAGCCAGGAUGUUGGCUUAGAAGCAGCCAUCAUUUAAAGAAAGCGUAAUAGCUCACUGGUCGAGUCGGCCUGCGCGGAAGAUGUAACGGGGCUAAACCAUGCACCGAAGCUGCGGCAGCGACGCUGAUGCGUUGUUGGGUAGGGGAGCGUUCUGUAAGCCUGCGAAGGUGUGCUGUGAGGCAUGCUGGAGGUAUCAGAAGUGCGAAUGCUGACAUAAGUAACGAUAAAGCGGGUGAAAAGCCCGCUCGCCGGAAGACCAAGGGUUCCUGUCCAACGUUAAUCGGGGCAGGGUGAGUCGACCCCUAAGGCGAGGCCGAAAGGCGUAGUCGAUGGGAAACAGGUUAAUAUUCCUGUACUUGGUGUUACUGCGAAGGGGGGACGGAGAAGGCUAUGUUGGCCGGGCGACGGUUGUCCCGGUUUAAGCGUGUAGGCUGGUUUUCCAGGCAAAUCCGGAAAAUCAAGGCUGAGGCGUGAUGACGAGGCACUACGGUGCUGAAGCAACAAAUGCCCUGCUUCCAGGAAAAGCCUCUAAGCAUCAGGUAACAUCAAAUCGUACCCCAAACCGACACAGGUGGUCAGGUAGAGAA
rnacentral:rRNA from 1 species